GGAAAAAACCGCUUACACCUGUUUCCUAUUAAGCCUUAAUGAGUCUUGAUCGUUGUGGGACCUGUGUGAAGAGAAGGACAAAGUCGCGAUUGGAUGUGUAUACGUCGUUUUAUCUAUAAAAAGCUUAAAUUUGGUCUCAGUGCUUCACAUCGUAAGCAAGAAGAAAAAUAGUUUCAACAGGACUUUUUCAGAUGGCUGAUACUAAAUCCUGAAGACAUCAAAAUCAGGGAGAAGGAUGGAGGAUGCAGUGAAGUGGAACUCGUAGGCAGCCACCCCUCCUCUACACAGCAGAGCCAGGUGGCCACCCAGUCUACUGCAUCAUGGAUUGCAAAAAGAAGAGAUGAGAUAGAUGGACAGGUCUUCACUCAGGCACGGCUCGGUUUCUGUUGGAUCUCCCAGUGCACUCUGGGAAAUGUGGUCCUCAGCUCUCCAGGCUCAUGAAGGCGACC